rnacentral:rRNA from 1 species
UACAGAGGUGGCAAGCGUUGUUCGGAAUUACUGGGCGUAAAGGGCGCGUAGGCGGUCUUGCAAGUCCCGUGUGAAAUCCCUCGGCUCAACUGAGGAAUUGCACGGGAAACUGCUUGGCUUGAGAUCGGGAGAGGGAAGCGGAAUUCCGGGUGUAGCGGUGAAAUGCGUAGAUAUCCGGAGGAACACCGGUGGCGAAGGCGGCUUCCUGGACCGACACUGACGCUGAGGCGCGAAAGCCAGGGGAGCAAACGGG